CGUAGGUAAUCUACCCCAGAGUCUGGAAUAACCUGCCGAAAGGCGGGCUAAUACUGGAUAGAGCGACGGAAUCCGUAAUCGGGUUUUUCGGGAAAGGGAGGAAGCAAUUCCCUUCGCUCUGGGAUGAGCCUGCGUCUCAUUAGCUAGUUGGUGGGGUAAAAGCCUACCAAGGCAUUGAUGAGUAGCUGGUCUGAGAGGAUGAUCAGCCACACUGGAACUGAGACACGGUCCAG
rnacentral:rRNA from 1 species